rnacentral:rRNA from 1 species
AGUGAACGCUGGCGGUAGGCCUAACACAUGCAAGUCGAACGGCAGCACAGUAAGAGCUUGCUCUUACGGGUGGCGAGUGGCGGACGGGUGAGGAAUACAUCGGAAUCUACUUUUUCGUGGGGGAUAACGUAGGGAAACUUACGCUAAUACCGCAUACGACCUACGGGUGAAAGCAGGGGAUCUUCGGACCUUGCGCGAUUGAAUGAGCCGAUGUCGGAUUAGCUAGUUGGCGGGGUAAAGGCCCACCAAGGCGACGAUCCGUAGCUGGUCUGAGAGGAUGAUCAGCCACACUGGAACUGAGACACGGUCCAGACUCCUACGGGAGGCAGCAGUGGGGAAUAUUGGACAAUGGGCGCAAGCCUGAUCCAGCAAUACCGCGUGGGUGAAGAAGGCCUUCGGGUUGUAAACCCCUUUUGUUGGGAAAGAAAAGCAGCAGAUUAAUACCCCGCUGUUCUGACGGUACCCAAAGAAUAAGCACCGGCUAACUUCGUG